GACCUACCAUAGACGCCGUCCUCCAUGGCGGCUAGGAAGGCCCGCGGGGAAUCCGGGGCGGUCCCGCCAGUCGGGCCUGGAUCCGCGUUGGCCCGCGGGCUCGGGUGAGCCCGCUCAAACGCCCCGGGAGCCACCGCCGCCUCCUCAGCGCCAGUCCUCAGCGCUGAAAAGACUCUUCCCUUCGUCGCCCAACCGCCCCUUCAGUAGGGACCGCCCCUCUUUUUGACACUGUCCAAUCCACAGUGGGCGCUUUCGUCCUCCCCGCCCUCGCCACCAAAGGAUCGUUCUCCAGGGCCAACAGUCGUACAAAAAGCCGGUGUAGGUAUGUCCGGCCAGAGGUAGACGGCCCGCGGGGCCAAUCGGAGUGCAGGCAGGGCAGCAGGCCCCGCCUCCGAAACAACAGAAAGCACUUGACAGGCUUGCUCUCCAAUGAGAAGCCCCGGAAAAGUGUCGCGCGGAGGCGGAGCCACGCGGUACAGCCACCUCUGCGCCUGCUCAAAGGCCCUGGACACUUGGAGUCUAGAUGGGGAAACUGACAUGAAGAGGAGUCCAAAGUGACACAGUCAGGCCAGAAAUGUUGCUUCUGAAGUCCUGAGUCCACCUCCUAGCACUGCCAAGCAGUCCACCUGGAGGUGAUGAGAACUUCCAGGCUUUGGUAAUGGACAACUCUGUAUCCCUGGAGCCUUCAUUCCUUUUGGCAUUACAGAACCACAAGAAGUCAUCUAGAAUCAUUGAGAUUCUCAACUCCAUUGGGCAAACUGGAACCAGCAAAAUCUCAGAUAUCUAGAAUUGCCACUGCUUCCUUGACUCUGUGAUCAGUCUACAGCCACAGAAUCCUGAUUCCCUUUGGACAUUCUAGAAUGGCACUUUAAAAAAAAACAACCCACCCAGUGGAUCCUUUCAAAGCACUGCUUAUUCUCUUGGCUGGGUGCUCUACAGCCAGAAGUUGGAGUUAUCUAAUAUCAAGAACUCUUAAUCUGUCACUUCAGUCUUUCUAAACCCACAGACUAACAAUGUUUUGUGCAUUCUAGAAACAUUACUCUUUAGUUUCUGGAGUAGUUCAACUCUCCACGUAAAAUCUGUCCUAGAC